rnacentral:rRNA from 11 species
AGGAGGUUGGCUUAGAAGCAGCCACCCUUUAAAGAAAGCGUAAUAGCUCACUGAUCGAGUCGUCCUGCGCGGAAGAUGUAACGGGGCUCAAACUGGUCACCGAAGCUGCGGCUGCAUACUUUGUAUGCGGGGUAGGGGAGCGUUCUGUAAGCCUGCGAAGGUGUGUUGAGAAGCAUGCUGGAGGUAUCAGAAGUGCGAAUGCUGACAUGAGUAACGACAAUGCGGGUGAAAAACCCGCACGCCGGAAGACCAAGGGUUCCUGCGCAACGCUAAUCGGCGCAGGGUGAGUCGGCCCCUAAGGCGAGACCGAAAGGUGUAGUCGAUGGGAAACGGGUUAAUAUUCCCGUACCUUGGAUAGCUGCGAUGGAGAGACGGAGAAGGCUAGGUGAGCCGGGCGACGGUUGUCCCGGUUUAAGCGAGUAGGGAGUGGACUUAGGCAAAUCCGGGUCCACAAUCUCGAGACGCGACGACGACUGCUCUUAGAGCGGGAAGUCAUUGAUGCCAUGCUUCCAGGAAAAUCUUCUAAGCUUCAGGCUAUUCGAGACCGUACCCCAAACCGACACAGGUGGUCAGGUAGAGAAUACCAAGGCGCUUGAGAGAACUCGGGUAAAGGAACUAGGCAAAAUGGUGCCGUAACUUCGGGAGAAGGCACGCUGGUGGUAAGUGAAAUCCCUGCGGGUGGAGCUGAAGCCAGUCGAAGAUACCAGGCCCCUGCGACUGUUUAUUAAAAACACAGCACUGUGCAAACA